GGCCUAACACAUGCAAGUCGAGCGGUAGCACAGGGAGCUUGCUCCUGGGUGACGAGCGGCGGACGGGUGAGUAAUGUCUGGGAAACUGCCUGAUGGAGGGGGAUAACUACUGGAAACGGUAGCUAAUACCGCAUAACGUCUUCGGACCAAAGAGGGGGACCUUCGGGCCUCUUGCCAUCAGAUGUGCCCAGAUGGGAUUAGCUAGUAGGUGAGGUAAUGGCUCACCUAGGCGACGAUCCCUAGCUGGUCUGAGAGGAUGACCAGCCACACUGGAACUGAGACACGGUCCAGACUCCUACGGGAGGCAGCAGUGGGGAAUAUUGGACAAUGGGCGAAAGCCUGAUCCAGCCAUGCCGCGUGUGUGAAGAAGGUCUUCGGAUUGUAAAGCACUUUAAGUUGGGAGGAAGGGCAGUUACCUAAUACGUGAUUGUUUUGACGUUACCGACAGAA
rnacentral:rRNA from 1 species